rnacentral:rRNA from 1 species
CGAAGGGGGCUAGCGUUGCUCGGAAUUACUGGGCGUAAAGGGAGCGUAGGCGGACAUUUAAGUCAGGGGUGAAAUCCCGGAGCUCAACUCCGGAACUGCCUUUGAUACUGGGUGUCUUGAGUGUGAGAGAGGUAUGUGGAACUCCGAGUGUAGAGGUGAAAUUCGUAGAUAUUCGGAAGAACACCAGUGGCGAAGGCGACAUACUGGCUCAUUACUGACGCUGAGGCUCGAAAGCGUGGGGAGCAAACAGGAUUAGAUACCCUGGUAGUCCACGCCGUAAACGAUGAUUGCUAGUUGUCGGGAAGCUUGCUUCUCGGUGACGCAGCUAACGCAUUAAGCAAUCCGCCUGGGGAGUACGGUCGCAAGAUUA